AACGAACGCUGGCGGCAGGCCUAACACAUGCAAGUCGAGCGAGGACUUCGGUUCUAGCGGCGGACGGGUGAGUAACGCGUGGGAAUGUGCCCUUCUCUACGGAAUAGCCCUGGGAAACUGGGAGUAAUACCGUAUACGCCCUAUUGGGGAAAGAUUUAUCGGAGAAGGAUCAGCCCGCGUUGGAUUAGGUAGUUGGUGGGGUAAUGGCCUACCAAGCCGACGAUCCAUAGCUGGUUUGAGAGGAUGAUCAGCCACACUGGGACUGAGACACGGCCCAGACUCAUACGGGAGGCAGCAGUGGGGAAUCUUAGACAAUGGGGGCAACCCUGAUCUAGCCAUGCCGCGUGAGUGAUGAAGGCCUUAGGGUUGUAAAGCUCUUUCAGCUGGGAAGAUAAUGACGGUACCAGCAGAAGAAGCCCCGGCUAACUCCGUG
rnacentral:rRNA from 1 species